rnacentral:rRNA from 1 species
CAGCCGCCGCGGUAAUACGUAGGGCGCAAGCGUUAUCCGGAAUUAUUGGGCGUAAAGAGCUCGUAGGCGGUUUGUCGCGUCUGCCGUGAAAGUCCGGGGCUCAACCCCGGAUCUGCGGUGGGUACGGGCAGACUAGAGUGAUGUAGGGGAGACUGGAAUUCCUGGUGUAGCGGUGAAAUGCGCAGAUAUCAGGAGGAACACCGAUGGCGAAGGCAGGUCUCUGGGCAUUAACUGACGCUGAGGAGCGAAAGCAUGGGGAGCGAACAGGAUUAGAUACCCCCGUAGUCCCUGUCUCUUAUAA